rnacentral:lncRNA from 13 species
CUCAGGGACACUCAAACUCCUCUCAGGGACACCCAAAACCCUCUCAGGGACACCCAAACCCCUAUCAGGGACACCUAAACCCCUAUCAGGGACACUCAAACCCUCUCAGGGACAAUCAAAACCAUCUGAGGGAAACUCAAACUCUCUCAGGGACACUCAAACCCCUAUCAAGGACACCCAAAUCUCUCACAGGGACCCCCAAACCACUCUCAGGGACACUCAAAUCCCUCUCGGGGACCCCCAAACCCCUAUCAGGGACACCCAAAUCCCUCUCGGGGACCCCCAAACCCCUCUCGGGGAAACUCAAACCCCUUUCAAGGACUUCUGUAUUAUCUUAUAUGGACCGAACCAGUUGCUCUGGAAGAGGACUUAAUGGUUAAAGGACUCCCCAAAAGCUCUAUUGCCCCUUUCCCUCUCACCAACACAUACAGUACACACACACACACAGAGAGAGAUGCCAAACGUCAUUAGUACCGACUAUCACUGUCAUUUUGAUGUUCAAAAGAAAAGUGACACUGUAUCUUUAAGAUCAGAAAGUGAGAGAGAACAUUGUGGAAAAGGCAGACUGCUGGUCCCUCUCUCUCUUUAUUUUCCUUCCUCCCCUCUCUCUUUCUCCAUAGAGGCAGUGAGAGAGACAGAUGUAACACAGCAGCCUUGGUUUGGCUCAGCUCAGAGACAGUAGGGGCGAGCUGAGAGAGAGAGAGAGAGAGAGAGAGAGGGAGAGAGAGAGAGAGAGACCAUAGCAGAGUUUAUGUUGUACAGGGAGACAGUAGCAGAGCUCUCUAUCUGCCCUAGGCUAGGUCAUGUCUGUUACUGUAACCCUCACACAACCUGUGAAGCCCGACAUGGAGCCAGGACCCAACAACAGAACAAUACAACAGGAGGGGAACGCUGUCCCCUGCAGUCCCCUGCAGUCUCCAACACUGCAGUCUCCAAUACUGCAGUCCCCUGCAUUCUCCAACCCUGCAGUCUCUAACCCUGCAGUCCCCUGCAUUCUCCAAUUCUGCAGUCUCCAACCCUGCAGUCUCCAACCCUGCAGUCUCCAACCCUACAGUCUCCAACCUUGCAGUCUCCAACCUGUAGAGUGACAGACUGUAGCACUUAGCAACAGCCCACUAUAAAUUCUGUAAACCCUAUAAAACGCCCAAGACACUCAUAAAUAAAAUAAAAAUUAAUGUGUUUAGCGCAAACUCUCUACGAUAUUACUAUCGUACUUCUUUAUUUGUUCUAACUCGACACUCUGGAGAAGUUAGAAUUUGGACUAAACAGCUAACACAAAACCACUGCAGCCAACCCAGUCCAGUCCCUCUCUCACAUGCAGGUCCAACAAGUCGUAAUAACAAGCUUCUCUUUUGCUAUUGUUAAUCCUUGCUAGUGGGCUUAACUUGAUUCAUGAGGCCAGGGCAGCUUCCACUUAUAGAAGCAGCUGAUCCAUCUGAACUGUUGGCAACUACACAAUGAGAUUCAUAUCAAACAUAUUGGCUUUUGGACUUUAGGAAACGUGCACUUGUUGGGUUGAGGGAGAGCUACAUUACACAGCUACAGAAAGUAAACCUAACCUAUGAUUGUGGACUAGCUUUUCCUGACCAGUGACCACAUGACCUGACAAGAAAACACUCCCUGCCCAUGAGGCUGGUGGCCUGAGGUUACCAUCUUAGAAUAGCUAAAACAUCACAAGACACACUUGACAACCCAUCCCAGCUUCGCUCAUGUUCCUUUCUCAUAUUUAUUUAACCUUUUGGGAUUGCUUCAUGCCUCACAUUGUCCCUGGGAUGCUAGAGUUUUGGGAGGGAAAGAGGCGAGUGUCAAUCGGAGACUAAUCUUUGUGACAUAUUUUCAUGUUUUCCUUACACCCUAGUGAUUGUGAUCUGUAAUUUGUCAUUUAUUUUAAGUGUAAAUGGACACCUGCUGGUUUGGGAGCCUGGCAGUAAAUUACUGUUUGAACAUUUUCUUUGCACCCUGCAGAUUUCAGAGUAAGAUGGGACACCAUAUAGUGGUGUACAACUACAAACAUUUUCGAACUUCACUGGCAGAGAGGCUGAGGAGAGAAAUAGAGAGAGAGACAUACACACAGAGAGAGAAAGACAGAGAGAGAGAGAGAGAGAGAGAGAGAGAGAGAGANNNNNNNNNNAUUGCUAGGUAAACAGUAGCUUUGUGUGCCAGGCUUCCAGCUCUCCUUGUGUAGUCUAGGCUGUGGAUAGAAGAUUAAGGAGAGUUUGUUAUGUUUUAUUUUACAUUGGAGUAACAGUUUAGGUGCUGGUUUCCCAGACCCUGAUUAAAUUCACUCCUGGACUUGAAAGCAUUAACAAUAGAGAAUCUCAUUUGAAAUUAGGAGGACUAAAUUUAAUAUGGGUCUGGUUAACCAUCUGACCCUAGUCUGAGGGAGCACUUUGCCUCGGCAGAAUAAGUGUCUCAUCUUGUUUAUAAAACCUGGAGAUGGNNNNNNNNNNAUUGCUAGGUAAACAGUAGCUUUGUGUGCCAGGCUUCCAGCUCUCCUUGUGUAGUCUAGGCUGUGGAUAGAAGAUUAAGGAGAGUUUGUUAUGUUUUAUUUUACAUUGGAGUAACAGUUUAGGUGCUGGUUUCCCAGACCCUGAUUAAAUUCACUCCUGGACUUGAAAGCAUUAACAAUAGAGAAUCUCAUUUGAAAUUAGGAGGACUAAAUUUAAUAUGGGUCUGGUUAACCAUCUGACCCUAGUCUGAGGGAGCACUUUGCCUCGGCAG